ACUCCUACGGGAGGCAGCAGUGGGGAAUAUUGCACAAUGGGGAAACCCUGAUGCAGCCAUGCCGCGUGUGUGAAGAAGGCCUUCGGUUGUAAGCACUUCAGUAGGAGGAAGGUAGUGUAGUUAACACCUGCAUUAUUUGUACGUUACCUUACCAGAAGAAGCACCGGCUAACUCCGUGCCAGCAGCCGCGGUAAUACGGAGGGGUGCGAGCGUUAAUCGGAAUUACUGGGCGUAAAGCGCAUGCUAGGCGGCCUGUUAAGUUCAGAUGUGAAAGCCCGGGGGCGUUAACCUCGGAAUUGCAUUUGAAACUGGCAGGCUAGAGUCUUGUAGAGGGGGUAGGAAUUUCAGGUGUAGCGGUGAAAUGCGUAGAGAUCUGAAGGAAUA
rnacentral:rRNA from 1 species